UCGGGAAUAUUGCGCAAUGGAGGAAACUCUGACGCAGUGACGCCGCGUGCAGGAAGAAGGUUUUCGGAUUGUAAACUGCUUUAGACAGGGAAGAAACAAGACAGUACCUGUAGAAUAAGCUCCGGCUAACUACGUGCCAGCAGCCGCGGUAAUACGUAGGGAGCGAGCGUUAUCCGGAUUUAUUGGGUGUAAAGGGUGCGUAGACGGGAAGGUAAGUUAGUUGUGAAAUCCCUCGGCUCAACUGAGGAACUGCAACUAAAACUGUCUUUCUUGAGUACUGGAGAGGAAAGUGGAAUUCCUAGUGUAGCGGUGAAAUGCGUAGAUAUUAGGAGGAACACCAGUGGCGAAGGCGACUUUCUGGACAGAAACUGACGUUGAGGCACGAAAGUGUGGGGAGCAAACAGGAUUAGAUACC
rnacentral:rRNA from 1 species